rnacentral:rRNA from 1 species
GACGAACGCUGGCGGCGUGCCUAAUACAUGCAAGUAGGACGCAGUUGCGAACGGGUGAGUAACGCGUAGGUAACUGCAGAUGAGAGGGGGAUAACUAUUGGAAACGAUAGCUAAUAACGCAUACUAGUAGAUGGAACUGAGUUGUAUUAGCUAGUAGGUAGGGUAAUGGCCUACCUAGGCGAGGAUACAUAGCCGACCGUAGAGGGUGAUCGGCCACACUGGUACUGUGACACGGCCCAGACUCCUACGGGAGGCAGCAGUAGGGAAUCUUCGGCAAUGGGGGGAACCCUGACCGCGCAACGCCGCGUGAGUGAAGAAGGUUUUCGGAUCGUAAAGCUCUGUUGUUAAGGAAGCGGUACUUAACCAGAAAGGGACGGCUAACUACGUGCCAGCAGCCGCGGUAAUAC